GAAGCGGCAACAGCUCAAAUUUGAAAUCUGGCGCAAGCCCGAGUUGUAAUUUGUAGAGGAUGCUUCUGGGCAGCGGCCGGUCUAAGUUCCUUGGAACAGGACGUCAUAGAGGGUGAGAAUCCCGUAUGUGACUGGCGCGCACCCUCCACGUAGCUCCUUCGACGAGUCGAGUUGUUUGGGAAUGCAGCUCUAAAUGGGAGGUAAAUUUCUUCUAAAGCUAAAUACCGGCCAGAGACCGAUAGCGCACAAGUAGAGUGAUCGAAAGAUGAAAAGCACUUUGGAAAGAGAGUUAAAAAGCACGUGAAAUUGUUGAAAGGGAAGCGCCUACAACCAGACUUCGCGGCAGUGUUCCGCCGGUCUUCUGACCGGUCCACUCUCUGUCGCGAGGCCAUCAUCGUCUGGGCCCGUCGGAUAAGACCUUGGGAAUGUAGCUCACCUUCGGGGGAGUGUUAUAGCCCAUGGUGAUGCGACGCGGCCCGGGCGAGGUCCGCGCUUCGGCAAGGAUGAUGGCGUAAUGGUUGUCGGCGGCCCGUCUUGAAACACGGACCAAGGAGUCUAACAUCUAUGCGAGUGUUCGGGUGUCAAACCCCUACGCGUAAUGAAAGUGAACGGAGGUGGGAACCGCAAGGUGCACCAUCGACCGAUCCUGAUGUCCUCGGAUGGAUUUGAGUAAGAGCAUAGCUGUUGGGACCCGAAAGAUGGUGAACUAUGCCUGAAUAGGGUGAAGCCAGAGGAAACUCUGGUGGA
rnacentral:rRNA from 1 species